AGUUUGCUAUGCAAAGAAGGACUAUAACUUGGCAAAGCACCCAGACCAAUGAUGUAGAGCUUCAAGUCCAAGGAGUAUGUGAUAGGAACUUUCGCUUGGAUGCACUACUACUGGUACCUGACCAAUGAUGGUAUUGAGUUUUUGAGGAACUACCUCAAUCUCCCAUCUGAGAUUGUCCCUGCAACUCUGAAGAAGCAGGCCAAGCCUCCUGGUCGCCCCUUGGGCCCAUCUGGUGACCGCCCACGUAGCCCACCUCGCUUUGAUGGAGGAGAACGCAGAUUCGGUGACAGAGAUGGGUACCGUUCAGUAGCUUGU